rnacentral:rRNA from 1 species
UAAAUAAUUGCUUAAAAAUAAGUGUUCCCGAAUUUAGGAGAGUUAACUGAAUAUAUAUAUUAUUGUUGAAUAACUAUUUAUAAUAUUUAGUUAGUAAUGAAAUGUUAUUCGUUUCUAAAUAUAUCUGGUUUUCCGAGAAAUAGAUUUAAUCUACUUUGUAAUAAUAAAUUUGUUUAUUGUUUAAUUUAUUUAUUGUUCAAUUUUAUAUUUUGAGGGAUGAGCUUCAAAAUAAAAUAUUAAAAGUUUAUUUUGAUUUAUUGAAUUUUGUAGGAUUAGAAGUUUCUAUCAAGAGAGGAUGUAAUAUUUUAUCUCAAUAAAACUAUUAUUUAUAUAAAUUUUAAAUUUUUUAUCGGAAUGUUAAUUAACAUUAAUUUAGAUUAAGUAUUAAUGAUUAAAUUAGUAUAUUAGUAUCAAAUGUGUGUAUAUUGGAUUAUUUUAGGUUAAUAAAAGGAAUUCGGCAAAGAAUUUUUCGCCUGUUUAUUAAAAACAUGGCCUUUUGAAAUUAAUUUAAGGUCAGGCCUGCCCACUGAGGAAUUAAAUGGCCGCGGUAUACU